UACGAAGGGGGCUAGCGUUGCUCGGAAUCACUGGGCGUAAAGCGCACGUAGGCGGAUUGCUAAGUCAGGGGUGAAAUCCUGGAGCUCAACUCCAGAACUGCCUUUGAUACUGGCGAUCUCGAGUCCGGGAGAGGUGAGUGGAACUGCGAGUGUAGAGGUGAAAUUCGUAGAUAUUCGCAAGAACACCAGUGGCGAAGGCGGCUCACUGGCCCGGUACUGACGCUGAGGCACGAAAGCGUGGGGAGCAAACAGG
rnacentral:rRNA from 1 species